rnacentral:rRNA from 1 species
AAGUAGGGGAUCGUAAGACCUUGCGCUUUUGGAGCGGCCGAUGCCUGAUUAGCUAGUUGGUGGGGUAAGGGCCUACCAAGGCGACGAUCAGUAGUUGGUCUGAGAGGACGACCAGCCACACUGGGACUGAGACACGGCCCAGACUCCUACGGGAGGCAGCAGUGGGGAAUUUUGGACAAUGGGCGAAAGCCUGAUCCAGCAAUGCCGCGUGAGUGAAGAAGGCCUUCGGGUUGUAAAGCUCUUUCAGUCGAGAAGAAAAGGUCGCGACUAAUAAUCGCGACUCAUGACGGUAUCGACAGAAGAAGCACCGGCUAACUACGUGCCAGCAGCCGCGGUAAUACGUAGGGUGCGAGCGUUAAUCGGAAUUACUGGGCGUAAAGGGUGCGCAGGCGGCUUUGUAAGUCAGAUGUGAAAUCCCUGGGCUUAACCUGGGAAUUGCGUUUGAAACUACAAAGCUAGAGU